GACUUGCUAGUUCAAUGGAUAGAACGGGGCUCUCCUAAAGCUCAAAUCCGGGUUCGAUUCCCGGGCGGGUCA
rnacentral:tRNA from 1 species